UACAUGGAAUGUCAGAGUUUUAAUUGUUCUAGAGCCUGACAUGCUAAUAUAGAAACCAGGCCAAGACCAUAAUUCUGCUACCAAAUAUUAGUGGGCAAUACAAUAAAAGUGUUUUUGGAAGACUCCUGAAAAAAUGGGGAAGAGAGACAGGUUUAGGCUUUCUAGGGGGGCAGGGAUUUCUGAAUCUGAGGAGGAUAAAAUGACUAUCAGUGAACUUCAGCAGAGAUAUAGCAAUGUCAGUGACAGUUAGGCAAAUUAAGGCACAGCUUUGGUAGUAGUUUCUUUUCCACCCUGUCACCUGGAAAGAUCGAACUCAGACUGUAGUGUUUCUGAAUGAACUUACAAGUACAAUCAGAAGUUCAGGUGAGAUAAUAAUGUGUAUAACAUAGCAGCCCUCUGUGAUACAUUUUCCUUUCCCUUUCCUCUUUUGUGUUUCAGUAGAAUGAGGUAGAGAUAAGGAGGUGUGGUAGUAAAAAAAACCUUGUUUUAAUUUUAAUGCAUUGCUCUUUCACAGGUGUUCUAGUGAAGAGAGAGAGUUCAUGCCUUGCAUUCAUUCAUACAUAUCAGCAUGUGUAUGACAUGACCCUUGCAGCUGGGACAGACCAGCAGGUUUGGAUCCUUGGCCUACUUCAUCAAGUGCUGGGCUCUUGGCAGGCACCCCCAGACACCAUCUCCACUGGAUUUGCACACCUUGGCAUCCUUUUCCCAUUUCUUGACCUUUCACUUCACCAGCCUGAAUCAAAGAAUCACUGAAAGGUUAUGGUUGGAAAAGAUCGCCAGAUGUGGUUUGCUCCAACCUCUGCUCCAUCAGGGACACCAGAGCAGGAUGCCCAGGACCACAUCCAGGUGACUCUUGGAGCUAUUACAACAAUGUGGGCACUUGUACUUUUUCUGCUACUUGUGGGAGAUCAACAGUGGAUUUCACACAUAUUGUUCAGAAGGAUUAUUACGUAGAAACACUAUCAUGCAAAGUGGAUUCUAACAUCAAUGUUGUUGUUGUAAGCAAACUGAAUACCAGCUUUGAUACUUUGAGACUUCAGUUUUUACUCCAAUGAGUACAAUGAGAACAUUUAAAUGAACUAUGUUUUUCCUGCUGAUUAGGUUGGCUGGUGUUGCUUUGUUUUUGAGAGAGUAAACCUAUUGUUUUGAGAGCUAUGGUGAUUGUGACAGAAGUUUGCUUUAUUCCUGAUCUUGAAGUCAUUGCAUAUGAGAAUAAACAAUGAUAAAUUGUGUAAAAAGGUGAAGCCAGGUCUUAAAUCACUGUCAUCCAUCAACAUAAGAGUGUGACUACUAGGUUUUUUUAUUAUUACUUUUUUUCAUUAUCUUGUGUAAAGAAACCUAAAUGAUACAUAAAAAGUUAGGGUUUAAGGAAUAUAGAUUACAUAAAAAAAAAAAUAAUAGCUAUUUCAUGAGGAAAACAAAACAGAAUCAAACUGUCAAAUCAGCUACAAAGCUACUCAAAAUAAAUAAAAUAAUGAAAGCAAAUUUUAUUGAAGUGUACACUUUAAUUAUCUUCUGCUUUUUCACCUGAUGCAACGUGACAAAUUCAUAAUUUUAUGUUAAAUAAUUUGUUUUGAUUUUUGAUGAGAAACAAUAAUGCAAGUAGUAGUAGUAGUACUUGUAUGUCCUCUUUAAAAUAGAUAAAUAUGUCUAUGAUGUCUGAAUAUAUCUCACUUCAUCCACUACCCCACCUAUUCAAUAUGCAUCGCUGUGCGCAA